rnacentral:rRNA from 1 species
UAGUGGCGGACGGGUGAGUAACGCGUGGGAAUCUGCCCUCAGGAGGGGGAUAACGGUUGGAAACGACCGCUAAUACCCCAUAUGCCGAGAGGUGAAACGAAAUUCGCCUGAGGAUGAGCCCGCGUCUGAUUAGCUAGUUGGUGGGGUAAGGGCCUACCAAGGCAUCGAUCAGUAGCUGGUCUGAGAGGAUGAUCAGCCACACUGGGACUGAGACACGGCCCAGACUCCUACGGGAGGCAGCAGUGGGGAAUUUUCCGCAAUGGGCGCAAGCCUGACGGAGCAACGCCGCGUGAGGGAUGAAGGCCUCUGGGCUGUAAACCUCUUUUCUCAAGGAAGAAGAACUNACGGUACUUGAGGAAUAAGCCACGGCUAA